rnacentral:rRNA from 1 species
GCAUAUCAAUAAGCGGAGGAAAAGAAACCAACAGGGAUUGCCCCCAGUAACGGCGAGUGAAGCGGCAACAGCUCAAAUUUGAAAUCUGGCCCCCAGGGCCCGAGUUGUAAUUUGCAGAGGAUGCUUUUGGCGCGGCGCCUUCCGAGUUCCCUGGAACGGGACGCCAUAGAGGGUGAGAGCCCCGUCUGGUCGGACGCCAAGCCAGUGUAAAGCUCCUUCGACGAGUCGAGUAGUUUGGGAAUGCUGCUCUAAAUGGGAGGUAUAUGUCUUCUAAAGCUAAAUAUAGGCCAGAGACCGAUAGCGCACAAGUAGAGUGAUCGAAAGAUGAAAAGCACUUUGAAAAGAGGGUUAAACAGUACGUGAAAUUGUUGAAAGGGAAGCACUUGUGACCAGACUUGGGCCCGGUGAAUCAUCCAGCGUUCUCGCUGGUGCACUUCGCCGGGCCCAGGCCAGCAUCAGUUCGCCGCGGGGGAUAAAAGCUUCGGGAACGUAGCUCCCUCGGGAGUGUUAUAGCCCGUUGCAUAAUACCCUGCGGUGGACUGAGGUUCGCGCUCCGCAAGGAUGCUGGCGUAAUGGUCACCAGUGACCCGUCUUGAAACACGGACCAAGGAGUCGUCUUCGUAUGCGAGUGUUCGGGUGUCAAACCCCUACGCGUAAUGAAAGUGAACGCAGGUGAGAGCUUCGGCGCAUCAUCGACCGAUCCUGAUGUUCUCGGAUGGAUUUGAGUAAGAGCAUACGGGGCCGGACCCGAAAGAAGGUGAACUAUGCCUGUAUAGGGUGAAGCCAGAGGAAACACUGGUGGAGGCUCGCAGCGGUUCUGACGUGCAAAUCGAUCGUCAAAUAUGGGCAUGGGGGCGAAAGACUAAU